GGGCAUUUGUCCUUCCCUGGCAUGCAAACAGCCACACGUGAGUGCUUGCUCCCGUUUAAGAGACUUUGAAGGAAUAUUUGCCCCUCACAACCUGCACAUUGAUUCCAAAGCUAGAUCGGGCCUACAGGGUUAGGGUUUUUUUAAAGAGAACUCAAAAAAGUCAGUAAGGGGCUGUGUUUUAGAAUCAACGACACAUGAUGGCCUCCAGUGAGCACUUAAAGUAGGAAAUCUGCAGUUCCUUUUUACUCUAUGUACUAACUUCAGAAAACAGUUGGUUUGUUUUUUUUUUCAAAUAAUAUGUUUUUUCCUUCUGACUUGUGUGUUGUUUCAGCUUGAAUAUAGAGACAGAUACAAUAAAGCUUGGUAAGAUUUGCCCUGGGUUCAUGAUUUGGGGGGAAGGAAUACCUGAAUUUCAAAAUAAUAUUCUGUACUGAAAGUUGGUGGUGUGUGGAUUUCAGAAUAUGAAAUGCAUAGUGUCUUAUUCACGGUAGCAUUAAGAGCCUUCCCCCCUCCCCCCUAAAAUUAGACCUUCAGAUCUUGAUCUGCAGCUCCUGUCUCUGACACUCUGAGCUUCUGCUAUUUCAGCUACAGUAUGCGUAGACUGCCAAAGCCAGGAUAUUACAAAUCAGAGAGGUUUAAAACAAGCGACUUGGGGGGCUAAAUCCCUCUUUUAGACACACAGUCGACACUCCCUUCACGGGAGGGCGGUGGUUUUUAAUCAUGCCUUAAAAAUUCCUUAAAAGCAGGGGGUCUCCCCUCCGCGAGGGGCGGUCGGCAGAGUGCGUGCCUUAUGAAUAAACCGGCUAUUAGGCUGAUGCUUCAAGUAACAUUAUCCAGCACCAAGGGUAUGAUUCAAGGAGUGCCCCACACAAAUUUCUCUUGGGGACAGUGCUGAGGUGAGUAUCAGACAGGGAGAGAGUUGUUUUCUGUUUAUUAGAUAUUCAAGAUAUGGAUGUGCCUCUACAGGUUUUCUCCAAAGGCAGCUUUUCACUCAUAAUGGCUUAAAAAGUCUGGGUCCUGUCAUCUGUACAAACCAAAAGCCUUAACUGCUCAGAAGGUCAUGUAUUUCUGAUAAAUAAUAAAUAAUUUCUGUUCAUUGUUAUUUUAGAAAAAGAAGAGUUCAGGAGCUUGAACAGCAGAAUUACGGAAUUGGAAAGUUAUGUAGACAUCAUUAAAUUCAGAGUUCUAUGGCCACAUUAAAUAACAGAAGCUUUGAACUGAUAAACUCUUCAUUGCAGAAUCCAUAUGGGGCCAUUCUCCUAAAGUGUCUUCCCUCAAGGAAGCAGCUCUAAUCUACACUAUUUCAAGACUUCUUGGACACAUGAAAUUAUAAAGGAAUCUCAUUGGCAAGUGAAAUAUGGCAACAAGGAGUCAUAUCCAGUACCGUUGCACCUGGUAAAAGCCUACAUGAAGUGACUGCAAACAUGCCAGCAUUGGUACUGGUGAGUCUUGUUGUGCUGUGUGUUCCUUGGACACUGGUGAGUGGAUAGGACUCAUAAUGAGUAGGACUGCUCUGCUCAUCUCCAGAGCUAGCACCAACAACCUGAGAAUAUCCCCUUAGUCUCUUUGUCUACUCCUAGCCUCAGCAGAGGUGAUGAAAGUAUCACUUGUCACAAGAGGCCUUGGCACCACAUUUCUAACCUCCUUAUCACGUUUUCCUUGGGAUAUGUUACUAGCCCUUUGCAUCAGAGCCACAGUAUUCCUCAGCACUACAGGUGUGCUAGAGGAGCCUUCUCCCCAAGAUUCCCUGUGGCAGGUGAUAAGGAUAUUCAGUUUCUGGAAGUGAAGUGAGAUCUCUGCUGUCAAAACAGUGAAAGUGCAGCUCCUUGUUCUAUGGAACACCAGGUUCCAAACAUGUCAGCACUUGAAACAUGGAUUAAGUGCAGAAAAUGCAAUGACAAUUUUCUGGCAUAGGUGAUUGGUGAGAUAACUAGAGGAGAUGCCCUGGCUGGAUUUAUUACUCAUGAACAAUCUGUCUGAGGGUGUAGAGGCUGAAGGCAGCUUUGGCUGCAACUUUGAGUUUGUAUAGUUUAAAAUUGUGAGAUAAACAAGAAAACUAAUAAAAUUGCAAGUCUUGACUUCCAAAGGCAGAUUUCAGCUUGUUUGGAAAUCUGUUGGACAGGAUCACAUGAAAGGCAGUCAGUUGCCCUGGCACAACUAACUGAACUUCACCUUCUCAAGACACAGAACUGGUUUCUUCCAAAUCAAGAAAGGUAAGCAAAGGUGCAAGGCUAGUAUGGGUGAACAGAACACGCUAGACUCACUGCAAAUAUGAAAUCUAGCCAAUGGCAGCAUGAGUGUGCUACCCAUCCACUUCACUGUGGUGAGUGGAGUGGCCAUGAUGGAUAGAAGAGGCAAAUGUCAUACCCGUCUUCAAGAAGGCUGAGAAAGGGGAUCCAGGGAACUACAAGCUAAGAACUCUAACCUCAGUCUCCUGGAAGAUUUUUUCCUCCUGGAAAUAAUUUCUGAGCUCAUGAAUUGCAAGAAGGUGAUUAAAAAUAGGCAGCAUGAACUUACCAUGGGCAAAUUGCCACUGAUAAAUCUGAUUGAUUGAUCAUUCUGAGGUGGACUGGUUCCAUGGAUGAGGGAAGAGUAGUGCAGGUUGUUUACCUUGACUUUAGCAGAGCUUUUCCCAAGGUCUUUGAUAGUAUCCUACCAGUCAAAAUAUGGACAGGAUAAGCAGAUUACAAAGUGGAUGGAAAACUGGUUGAAAUUCCAGGCCAGACAGGUUGUGAUUGGCAGUAUAAAGUCUAUCCCACAACUGGUUGCUAGUGGCAGUCCUCCUCAGGAACAGAUUAUGGGGUAAAUGCAGUUUGGUGUCUUCACUGCUAAUGAUCUGAUCUAAUGGGAAAGCUUGCACUAUCAGCAGAUUCAUGGAUCAUACCAGCCUUCAGGGAAGGAGUUGAUAUGCCAGAGGGCAGGGGUGUUGCUUAGAGGGAACCAAGACAAGCUGGAGGAAUGUAUUUUCAGGAGUCUCACCAAGCUCAGCAAAGACAGGUAAGAAGUCUUGCACGUGCUGGAGAUGAACUGAUUGAAGAGCAGCUUUGUAGAAAGGGACCUGUGGUACUGGUGAACAUGACGAGUAUGAGUUGGCAGUUGGGGCAAACAAGGUCAGCCUCAUCCCACAUUGUAUUAGCAAAUUGUAACCAGCAGGUCUAGGGAAGUAAUUGUUCCCUCUCACUGGUGCUUGUGAGACUGCUUCUGGAGUACUGUUUUUGCUGCCCAGUACAAGAGACAGACACAUGGUUUUGAAUACAGCAGAGUCACUAAGAUCACACAGGCUGAAGUACGUGUGUAUGAGCCAAGUGUGACAGUGUGAAUAUAGGAAAGAGAUCCAAACUCUUCUUGGAAAUGUAUGGUGACAGGGGAAGAGCUAAUGGACACAAGUUGCAAUACAGGAAAUUCUGCCUGUAAGGAAAAACAUUUUCAUUGUUAAUAUAAUCAAAUGCUGGAAUGGACUUCCAGUCAAUAUUGUGGAAUCUCAGACCUUGAAGAAAUUCAAAAGCUGACUGAGCAAGAUGCUUUGAAUGAGGAAUUGAAAUAGCAGACUUACAGGGAUCACUUUCAACCUGUCCAUCAGAGAAGAGGAGCGAAGACCAGCAAAUGGCAAUAAAUUUGCCACUGCAGAUCUGCUUGAACCCUUAUUGUCAGAGAGCUCUAGUGUCAAAGAUGAGGCACCUACGCAUUUCUACACUGAAAGAUGGCAGCUGAGUUUUCAUUUGAGAACUGCAAGUUUCAAUGAAGAACCCUAAGGCCUGAAUAUCUUUUUGAAUCUGGUUCUUAAUAGUCAACUUAAAAAAGAAUGGAUCUGUUUUCAAAGAGUACAGGCUUUUCUCCUGAAGACAUGAAAGACAUAGGAGGAUGAUUGAUCAGGAUUGCUUUGAGGGAUGUUUUCUUUCCUGUUGUCCUAAGAUGAGAUUGGAGGUUAUAGGAAGUGGCAGAUGUUUUGGAGUGGCCCUAUUGUUUACAGGACUUUAAAUUGUUGUUUUCAUUCGUGAGUUUCCUAUCUGCUAAUAGUGAAUGCAUACUUGUAGCUAGUGUACAUGAUUGCAUUUGGCACCUUUUAGGAGUUAGAUGGUAGUUGUUCUCUAGCUGGUGCUAAUUUCUAUUUUCAGACACUGCUUAACUUCAGCAUUAGCAAAAUUAUAUGAGAAAGUGAUGUUGCUGCACUCUGUGUUGUGCAGGGCUGUAAAUGUAGGCAUGCAUUACAGGAAUAAUUGUAUAGAAUGAAAAGCUAAUAUACAUCAGUGUUUUGUUAAAAAGUAUGCACAUUCUAUACAUAGUGCUUGGGAAAAAAGUCAUUUUCUCUUCAUGACUGAUUCAAUUCUAUAUAUUUUAUAAGAAAACUUUUUGUGUCACUAAAAAUAAAUAAAUAUUAUACAUAUUUAAUGGAAUAUGUGAUUUUUCCUUCUUCUAGUGUAAUCAUUCACCAUUUUGUAGCAGCUUCCACAGGGAUAGGUAACAGGACAAAUACCAGUGAAUGGAUAAUCACAAUCCUUAUAAGAAAAAAAAAAUCCUUCUUAUUUUUAACUUUUGGUAACUUGAAAAUAUUUCUUGUAUUUUGUCUUAAAUACAGCAUUUCGUCAUUUGUUUAAUAAUGCCUCUCUCUCUAUGGUAAAACAGUUAGAAUAUAGACCUUCUUCCUUUCCUCAGUGAAAGGAGGAUAAAUCAACAUGCUGGCUUAUAUUUUAAUAGAGUUAUGGGGAAGGGGAAAUGAGAUUUUUUCAAAUGGGGAGGGAAAAAGUAUUUAUCAGAUUUCAACCAUUGGAUUAAAUUAUAUCAUGCUCUGUAAGAAAAACUAUGUUGCUCUUCAGUUUUGUAUUCAAAGAGGUACUAUGAUCCAAAAACCAUGCCAUAUUCAGUGCAUAUACUAAAAGCAUCACUCACAUGCUGGUCACAAGAAUAUGUUUCUAUUAAAAAAAAAGUUGUCACUUAUAAGUCUUUUUUCCUGUAGUUCAGAAAAUUAUUUCUAUUUGAAUAGCUUUGAAAUUUCAAGAUCAGAAUAUUUUUAUAAGCAAUAGUUUAAAGCCUGUGAUAUAAUCUGCAAACUAUCAAACAUACGAUCUUCCUAAUGUGCCAGGAUUUUGAUUACAUAAAAAUACUUUGUUGAUUCUUAGUGAAUAUUCAUGAAUGGUGUAUAUAUAUGGUUGGUAUGCAUAUGCACAGUAUAAAACAACAUGGUAAAAAAUACAUCUUUAUACUUACGGAAGAUUAUAAAAAUAAAUAAUUUCUUUCUA